AACAAUGAUUCGCUGAAGCAUGAGACAACUCUGGAAGAAGAGGCACUGCGUAGGAGGAAGUAACAAUUGUUGACGCCCCAGAGGCAUGAGGAGCCCAAAGACAAGUGGUCAUGUCAACUUCAAGUUCAAUGAAAUAAUCAUUGUGUGCCCCUGGUGGAAGCAUUCUCCUCUUUGGAAUAAAGACUUCUAGACCAGUGGAACCUAAAGAUAUGGGGCCAAGAAGCAAAAAUCUUGUGUGUUACUAGGGGAAAAAGUGAGAGGAGGCAGUGGCAUUUUCAGAAUCCUUGGAUCCAUGAAUCCUGGCUAUGGAAGAAACAGUUUCAAAUAUUAUACACUAAAUUUAGAAUAAAUACUGCAUCCUGGAAUAUGCUGGAGGACGCUGUCUCCAUUCUGCAAAGUAUUUGUAGCUGGCACCAUAGCUAGUUAUUUGGAGAGACAUCCCCCUAUUAUUUUAAGCCAACUUCUUGGAAUAAUGGAGAACAUGAAAAGACCAGUGAAUUCCAUGGCCUUGGGUACUUUGCUGCACUUCCUUUGUUGUGAAAUUAAAUUCCUGGCUGGAAGUGAUGCGAUGUGGAAUACCAUGACAGUGGAAAAGGCAUUCUACAAAUCUAUGGAUAGUAGUUCCGGUGGAAGCAUUUAUAUACAGAGGAGGAAAAUCCAUAUUUAGAAUCACAGCACUGUAUGAAGGAGGUCAGGCCUAAGUCGCAUGGCAAAUGGCCAGCACUCAUGGUCUUCCGGUAAUGCAUUUGAACCAUGCAGAUAUUGCUACCGCAGAAGCCUAAGGGACCAACAAAGCACAAAGGACAAAUUACAAUAACAUCGUCAAGAACCCACAUGGAGAGAGUCUGAGAAGCUACAGAGGGGAGACCACUAAAGUUCUCCAGAGGAGUCACAAAUUUCUGAUUCAUCUAUGGCAUCAUCUCUGAGCCCACAGAAUAUGCAAAAGUUGGGAAAGAGAACAUUGGUGGAAUAUACUAAAAUGAAAAAGACACCAUCUCUGUAUGUAAAGAAAAAGGUACAUGGACACAAACAUCACUAAAUAAAAAAGAAAGAAAAUCAUCAGAAUACCAUUCUACUGAUGGCCCAAACUCAAAGACACAAAAGUAAGAGGAAAUUUUGCUCUAGGAAAGCCAAGUGGUAAGUGAACGCACUCUUGAAGAUGGAUAACUCUUUAACAAAAAUAAACAAAAGAAAAGUUAUUUCAGAGUGAAAAAGUAAAGGCUUAAUUUUGGAAAAGAUGACACCUUGAAUGCCACCCAGGAAAUCUGGACUUUGAUCUACCUGCUUUGAACAGUUAUUGAAAAAUUUGUGAGAGGUCACAGUAAGAUCCACAUUUUUAGAAGGAACACAUGAUUGAACGGUCAUUUACUCCUAAAAUACCAUCAUGCUCUCAUUUGAAGCCUCCUUCACUGGGCUCUCAACGGGAAGAUGGUUCUGAUUCAUCCUACCUUUGCUUCAUUUUCAACCUCACGUGAAAGCCAACUUUUGCCCUGUGUUGUCACAAUGACAAACUCAAUGUUCCAUAACCGGAUCUCGAUGUACUCCCCAUCAAUCUUCCCACCGCCCCGCUGGAGAGAAGCUUGCCUCAAGAGCCGACUCCAUCUCCGAGGCCCUUCCCGGACCUGCCCCAGCCUGGAAGGGCGUGGAUGCUGCUGGGGGCUGCACGGGGGUGCGGAGGGUCAGCCCGCAGAGCGGCCGAGCAGAGCACCCUGGCCCUGCACCCAGGCUGGCCCCGACUCGCCACAUCCAGCUAAUAUAGAUGAACCUGAAAAAACACGUGCUAAGUAAUUCAAAGCCCAGUCACCAAAUACCAUAUUUAUAUGAUUCUAUUUAUUUAAAAUAUCCACAAGAGGCAAAUUCAUGAAACAGCAGAUUUGUGGUUUCAAGGGACUAUGGGGGCGAGAUAAUGAGGAGUGACUGCUUAAUGUGUAUGAGGUUUUUUUGUUUUUGUUUUUGUUUUUUGUUUUUUUUUUGUUUUUAAAAAGGCACUGCAAUAUCUAGUUAACCUUUUACAAAUAAGGUGAAGUUAGAUUUCUAUCACAAACCAUCUACCAAAAUAAAAUACAGACGGGAUGAGUGGUGUUAUGGGUGUUAUGCUAUAUGUUGGCAAAUCGAACUCCAAUAAAAA